rnacentral:rRNA from 1 species
UACGUAGGGUGCAAGCGUUAAUCGGAAUUACUGGGCGUAAAGCGUGCGCAGGCGGUCAUGCAAGACAGGUGUGAAAUCCCCGAGCUCAACUUGGGAACUGCAUUUGUGACUGCAUGACUAGAGUACGGUAGAGGGAGAUGGAAUUCCGCAUGUAGCAGUGAAAUGCGUAGAUAUGUGGAGGAACACCGAUGGCGAAGGCAACCUCCUGGACCUGUACUGACGCUCAUGCACGAAAGCGUGGGGAGCAAACAGG